AGGAAGCCGCUGAUGACUCACAACCAUUAACUAAUCAAGACUGGUCAGGAGUUUUAAAACUACCAGUAGGAAAGUUCCUUUCUCUUUAUUCAUUAUGGCCAUGAAGCAGGAAAGACUGUGAGAGAACUGGGUUCUCACUCAGAUAGGACUAACCAAGAAAGCCUUGUGGCUUGUGAGUAAUCCAGACAGCAGAAAAAGUCUCAGGGCCACCCACAGACGUGACUGUGCUGACGUCAAAAGCAGCAUGCCAAACACACAGCCUGUUUAACUGAAGGGCACUGAGAGACAAUUCAUCAGCUGAUAUCACACAUUAAAACUUCAGUGAGAGUUCAUACAUUGAUAUUGGACAAAGAAAGGCCCGAAGGAAAGGAUUUAUCAAAAGAAGGUGGAAGCUGAACAUCUUGCCCCACAAGAAAGAAGACCAUUGAUCUUAUUACAGGAAAAGUCAUUGUAAAAUCCACCAGAGGAAGUGUAACCAGGA
rnacentral:lncRNA from 1 species